GCCAGGCAUGGUGGCUCAUGUCUAUAAUCCCAGCCGCUAAGGAGGCUGAGGCAGGAGGAUCUUGAGUUCAAGGCCAGCCUCAGCAACUCAGUGUGGCCCUAAGCAACUUAGCAAGACCCUAUCUCUA
rnacentral:sRNA from 1 species